UACGUCAUCAGAGGGCAGCACAGGCUCUAGUCUGUAAUUCCCCAUAAAUGUCAGCAGCUCCAACAGUCCGGUGAGCAGCAGCAGCAGACGUAUGCUGAGCUCUGACGGCCUCACUUAGCAGAGACUGAAACGCGCCUCAGACGCAGGUGGCGGGAGGAGGCGGCGAACAGGCUGAAUGUAUAAUUAAUUUUCCCAGGAACAGGCAUUUACAAAGAGACUCCCAGAACAGAAAGCCCGAAGAGCGCGGAGCGGGGACGACUGCGGCAGAAAACCGCGGAGCCACCGUGGCGCAUCAGACAUUCAGGCACUAUUGUUCUUUGCAGUAAGCU